rnacentral:rRNA from 1 species
UACGUAGGGUGCGAGCGUUAAUCGGAAUUACUGGGCGUAAAGCGUGCGCAGGCGGUGAUGUAAGACAGUUGUGAAAUCCCCGGGCUCAACCUGGGAAUUGCAUCUGUGACUGCAUCGCUAGAGUACGGUAGAGGGGGAUGGAAUUCCGCGUGUAGCAGUGAAAUGCGUAGAUAUGCGGAGGAACACCGAUGGCGAAGGCAAUCCCCUGGACCUGUGA